rnacentral:rRNA from 1 species
GACGAACGCUGGCGGCGUGCUUAACACAUGCAAGUCGAACGGAAAGGCCCUGCUUUUGUGGGGUGCUCGAGUGGCGAACGGGUGAGUAACACGUGAGUAACCUGCCCUUGACUUUGGGAUAACUUCAGGAAACUGGGGCUAAUACCGGAUAGGAGCUCCUGCUGCAUGGUGGGGGUUGGAAAGUUUCGGCGGUUGGGGAUGGACUCGCGGCUUAUCAGCUUGUUGGUGGGGUAGUGGCUUACCAAGGCUUUGACGGGUAGCCGGCCUGAGAGGGUGACCGGCCAAAAUGGGACUGAGAUACGGCCCAGAAUCCUACGGGAGGCAGCAGUGGGGAAUAUUGCACAAUGGGCGGAAGCCUGAUGCAGCAACGGCGGGUGCGGGAUGACGGCCUUCGGGGUGUAAACCGCUUUCGGCCGGGAAGAAGCGAGAGUGACGGUAAUGGGUAAAGAAGCACCGGCUAACUACGUG